GGAACCCGGGGCCCGUCAGGAAGGAGAGCAGCUCCUUCUAAAGGCCAAAACUCUCUGGAUUCAUCAGCUUCCUAUCAGACAAAAUGUCAGCUCAGUCUGACUCUACGUGCUCCCAUCCUAUUUCUUCAACCUCUGACUAGAGGCUCCAGUUCAGAUCUCCUGACUCUCUAGGUCAAGUGUUCAUGCUAGAGUCUGCUGGUCUGUGAGGAAACACAAAGCUGCUCUUGCUGCUGGAACAAACUCAGCCAGGAUCCCAGUUCCACCGUCAGAUAUGGAGGCAAAGUAAAAUUCAUCCGCUUUGGGGGAAAUACUAAAUAAAUCUUCAGAUCCCAGUUUCUGAUCAGGUUGGUCCACAGAUGUUUUCACCAGGAACCACAAAACAAGCUGGAUCUCCCAGAUGGUUGAUGGACAGUGGGGGAGGAGCUAGGAGUUUUUCCUGGAACUGGUGGGUUGGCAGUUUGAACCCCCACACCGAUCCUCUGUCGUUGUGUCCUUGAGCAAGACACUCCACCUGCUUUGGUUGCUGGUGGUAGUCAGAGGACCCGGUGGCGCCGGUUGUCUGGCAGUCUUGAUUCUGUCAGUUUUUUACGUGUCCUGUCUGGUUGUGGAGCACCAAGAAUUGCUGUCUUGAUGCCAAGGAGAGGCCAACAGGUUUACUUUCACAAGUGGAGCAUUACUGCUUUCACUAUAGUGCUCUGUGUGAUACGUUUGAUAAACAACUUUAUUAGGGGUUAUUUUGGGCUUAUUUCGCAUCCAAUGGACACAAACUGAAAAGUGGAAGAGAAAGAAAGGAAAAGAAAAAUUAUUAAAAUAUUUUUUAUUGAUUUUAAAGAUUCAAAAACAGCCUAAAGAACAUAAUAAACAGGAUAAUACAAUCCCAACAGCACGUGCUGACAGAUGAGAUUCAGCUAUCAGAUUCAAUAAAGAGGUAAAAAGAAGAGGCUGGGUAAGAUGUUACUCUUAAGAGAAUUAAGUCCCAAAACAUGAAAUAAAUGGCUGCCAGGUUACUCUGAACAGAGUUGCUGACAGUAUGUUUCAAGCUUUAGAUGGUUCAUAACAUCUUCCACCCACUGUUUGAGUUGGAGGGGCAGCUUCUUCCACCUUCAUGAUGUCUUAAGUCCCAAAACGAUAAGAAAGGGUUAAAACAGGAUAAACCGUGUUAGAAAUUAUUUUCAACCUUAUCGUACGCUGGGGCAUGAUGAGUUUGGGGUUGCUUUUGGAUUUUUGUUAAACACACGUCAAAGUCUGUGAGAAAAUCUCUGCAGAUACUUUCAAGGUUUUCCUUGGUGAUCACUUCUCUGGAAUGGCUCCAACUUUUACCAAUGUUACCUUUUGGUUUUGCAUUGUGAUAAGGUUGAUAUUUAUCUGACUCUUUAGGCAUUUGCUGCAGCCUGUCUCCACACCUUUCAGUCUGCUGGAUCACUGGAGAACUGAAUUUGUGUCUUUUCUUAGGCCUUUUUCCUGUUUGAAGGUCUAAGUCUCUAAACUUGCUUUGUUUGCUGUCUAAAUGCCAACAAGUGCUCCAAAGAAACUGAGCAUAUCUGCGCAUCUCCAGCAUGGAAAAGUUAUUUUCCCUGCAAUGCAUGGUCACAUUAUAUCGUAUCAUAUCGUACACUUUCAUGUAGAUCAUGAAGGAACAAAGACUUAAAAAGUGGGUCCUCUUCAGGACCCGGAGAAUUACAUCCUUGAGAAUAAACGUUCCACGCCUGAUCACUGCCACCUACCACCGAGUCAGUCAAGUCAGACUCAGUCCACCUGUCAACCUGCCUACAUAAUCCCUCCUCAGUCUGCUCAUCCCCGCCGGAACGUCUUCGCCCUUCAUUCUACCUUCCACCAGCCUUCUUCCUUGUCUUUCGUCCCUCGUCGUUUGCCUCGCCGUCUCCUUCGCCUCACGUCCGCCUGCUCCUGCCAUCAUCUCCCACCUGCUCCAGUCUGGGUCAGUUCCUUCCCCACCAACCAUCGCCUUUAAUAAACUGUUGAAAACCAAACUCUGUGUGGCUGAAUUCUGGUUCACCAAUCUCAGUACCUGACAGUUUAUUACGACCCAUUUAGAUCACUAAUCUACUACCAAAUUGUAGAAUAAGCUGCUACAAAUCAAACAAAUGUUUUUAAAUCUGCUAUUGAAACACAUUAUUUCUCCUUGACUUUUAACUCAGUUUGAGAAGUUUUUUAUUUAUUUUCGUUCUGUCAUUGUAUUUAUUUUGUAUUAGUUUUCGAAUGUUUUAUUAGAACAAUAACGUCCUCGUCCUCUGGUAAUGUUACAGACAUAAAAUGAAUGAACAACUAGGCUAAUUGUUUCAGCUGCCCUCUGUAGUUUUAUUCUCA